rnacentral:sRNA from 1 species
UACCUCAUUCAUAAAGAUGAAAAACCAGCCAGUGUUGACUGAGCACUUAGAAGACCUCACACCAGGAUCUCUGUGAAUAAGAUCUCACUUCACCUUCGCUACAAUGCUGGGAGAUGGGAAUUACACCAUUCGCACAUCAGGAAACAGGGGCUGUGGAUUCUUAGGUAACUUGCCCGUGCUCAGAAACUGAUGCAGCUGAGGCCAGAAGCGAGGUUUGAAUCAUUCAUAAGCUGAGUGUUUUCAAGAAGUGAAAGAUCAAGCACAACCAGCAGAGAAGGCCGGAGAGAAGCUGCUCGAGGAGAUGAGGAACCUGCGGGGCAAAGCACUCAACACAUACCUGAUUCUAGAAUGAAAGUCACCAGUAGGUCAGUCCCUUCCAUUUGCUUUCUGCGGGCCACUGUGGCCCCUUGCGUCCAUUUACAUGCCAGCCAUCUCUGCAAUUAAAGUUUCUGGAUAAAAAAAUGAAAUGUAGAGGAUGUAUAUAUCUUUUAAGUGAUAAUUAUAAAUCUUAUAUUUAAAAAUAAAAUGGAGUUAGGAUGAUG